rnacentral:tRNA from 1 species
UCCCUGGUAGCUCAGACGGUAAAGUGUCUGCCUACAAUGCAGGAGACCCAGGUUUGAACCCUGGGUCGGGAA